CCUACGGGAGGCAGCAGUGAGGAAUAUUGGUCAAUGGGCGCGAGCCUGAACCAGCCAAGUAGCGUGAAGGAUGACUGCACAACGGAUUGUAAACUUCUUUUGUCAGGGAAUAAAGUGAGGCACGUGUGCCUUUUUGUAUGUACUUGAUGAAUAAGGAUCGGCUAACUCCGUGCCAGCAGCCGCGGUAAUACGGAGGAUCCGAGCGGUAUCCGGAUUUAUUGGGUUGAAAGGGUGCGUAGAUGGGUUGUUAAGUCAGUUGUGAAAGUUUGGGGCUCAACCGGAAAAUUGCAAUUGAUACUGGCAGCCUUGAGUACAGUUGAAGUAGGCGGAAUUCGUGGUGUAGCGGUGAAAUGCUUAGAUAUCACGAAGAACUCCGAUUGCGAAGGCAGCUUACUAAACUGCCACUGACAUUGAUGCUCGAAAGUGUGGGUAUCAAACAGGAUUAGAUACCCUAGUAGUC
rnacentral:rRNA from 1 species